rnacentral:tRNA from 12 species
GCACUGUUAGCUCAGAUGGAUAGAGCGUUGCCCUCCGGAGGCAAAGGCCACUGGUUCGACUCCAGUACAGUGCACCA